AAAUAACCCGAGACGAUUUGCUAGCAAACCAUUUGUGCUGUACGGUUGAGUUCUGGACUCAGCGUGGAAUUGUUACACUGAAGAAAUGGCUGUUGCCGAUACGGAUCUGAGCACCAUUUAUUCUCUCUGGACAACAAUCUCCACAAUUAGUGAUGCUAACACUGGUUACCUCGUAGACUUCCAAUAAGUCAACUCUCCACCAGGGGUCCCUGUCCCAAGUAGUAUGACUGCAUGAACUACCACUGUAAAUUGAAUUCCUGUUGCCAUCGACAGCAUUUUGAGCAGCUGUUAAUCCAUCGUAUGUGGAAGACUGGACAGCUGUGGCUCCAAGAGCAAGAUUCCCUGUUUCUUCGUAAAUAAAUCACAAGCUUUAAAUUACCAUG